CCUACGGGUGGCAGCAGUGGGGAAUAUUGCACAAUGGGGGAAACCCUUAUGCAGCGACGCCGCUUGUGGGAAGACGUUCCUCUGAAUUGUAAACCACUUUCCCCAGGGACGAAGAUGACGGUACCUUGGGAGGAAGCUUCGGCUAACUACUUGCCAGCAGCCGCGGUAAUACGUAGGGAGCGAGCGUUGUCCGGAGUUACUGGGGGAAAGUGGAGCGUAGGCGGGGAUGCAAGUUGGGUGUCAAAACUACCGCCUCAAGUGGUAGUCGCACUCAAACCUGCAGCUCUUGAGUGAAGUAGAGGAGAGCGGAAUUCCUAGUGUAGCGGUGAAAUGCGUAGAUAUUAGGAGGAACACCAGUGGCGAAGGCGGCCUGCUGGGAUUUUACUGACGCUGAGGCUCGAAAGUGUGGGGAGCAAACAGGAUUAGAUACCCGAGUAGUC
rnacentral:rRNA from 1 species